rnacentral:pre_miRNA from 1 species
UCAGCAACUCGUUUCGCCAUUUUGAUGCGGAGCUUUUCAAAAAUUCUUAUCUUUUUGAGACAGUCCUCUCAAAGAGACACGGAUUUUUGAAAAGCUCUGCAUCAAAAUGGCGAAACGAGUUGUCGA